rnacentral:rRNA from 1 species
ACUUAAGCAUAUCAAUAAGCGGAGGAAAAGAAACCAACAGGGAUUGCCUCAGUAACGGCGAGUGAAGCGGCAACAGCUCAAAUUUGAAAUCUGGCCCUUUCAGGGUCCGAGUUGUAAUUUGCAGAGGAUGCUUCGGGUUCAGCUCCGGUCUAAGUUCCUUGGAACAGGACGUCAUAGAGGGUGAGAAUCCCGUAUGUGACCGGUCGCGAUGCCCGUGUGAAGCUCCUUCGACGAGUCGAGUUGUUUGGGAAUGCAGCUCAAAACGGGUGGUAAAUUUCAUCUAAAGCUAAAUAUUGGCCAGAGACCGAUAGCGCACAAGUAGAGUGAUCGAAAGAUGAAAAGCACUUUGGAAAGAGAGUCAAACAGUACGUGAAAUUGUUGAAAGGGAAGCGCUUGCAACCAGACUUGCCUGCAGGCGAUCAGCCGGUAUUCUUACCGGUGCACUUGCCUGCAGUCAGGCCAGCAUCGGUUCGGGUGGCUGGAUAAAGUCCACUGGAAUGUGGCUCCCCUCGGGGAGUGUUAUAGCCAGAGGUGCCAUGCAGCCCACCCGGACCGAGGACCGCGCUUCGGCUAGGAUGCUGGCGUAAUGGUGGUAAGCGACCCGUCUUGA